GUCAGUCCCGAUGGGGGUCUCGGGGCUGGGGUAGCGGAGGCGAGGGGUUGAGUCAGGGAGCCUACAGAGUCUCUUGGGGUUGCUCUACGCCACAGACAUGAGCACAGCCAUUUGCUAUGUGUAAUUAAAUUGAGCUAAUUUCAUUCUGUGGCACAGAGCAGGGGAAUCAGGGUUCUCAAAAAACGUUAUUAUCUUAUCUCAUUUUGUGUAAAUAUCUUCAUGGCGCAGCUGGACAGGAAGAAAAGACAUUUUUGAGAUGUUCCUGGUCCCCUAAAUGGAUUGCGUCCUGUUCCUUCAGCAUUAAAGUCAGUCUAAAGCAGAGGCCUCCGGGAGCUGACGUGGAUGAAAUGUUACAUUUGUAUCAUCAUUCUACAGAUGGACAGGAAAGCACUUUUUCUGGAUAAAUCGAAGGAGGGAGGCUGAGGGAUCAAACCACUGUGAGCCCCACGGGGACCCUGACAUCUCUGCCCGUGAGCCAGCGACAGCCAUCCAUCUUUCUAGGUUACACAUAAGUCAUCGCAGGCAGGCGAGAGUUGGACCUAUUUCUGAAGAUCUGUUCAGCAAGCAGGUCCUUUCAUCUGAGGACACAACGAAAGACACUGGCUUGUGGUACCAUUUCCUGACACCAUUUGGGGCUGGCAGUCCAGCAGGCGGACAGCUUUGUGGCACGGUACGGAAGAGUUGGCAGACUUUCCAAGAGAGGUUCCAUAUGUGAAAGGUGCUGAUUAGGAAGUUUUCAAAUCUGCAACAACCAGUGAUCCCUGAGAGCAC
rnacentral:lncRNA from 1 species